rnacentral:ncRNA from 2 species
AAGUUAAUAUUGUUGUGCAGUAAUGUUAACCGGUGCAAAGCCGGUGCGGUCCCGCCGCUGUAAGGGCACGCCUGUUAUGCAGGCAGGUUUUGGUUAAGCCCAAGCCAGCAGAUUGCUGCACAUAAGCAUUUAGC